rnacentral:rRNA from 1 species
GACGUAGGGCGCGAGCGUUGUCCGGAUUUAUUGGGCGUAAAGAGCUCGUAGGCGGCUUGUUGCGUCGACUGUGAAAACCCGCGGCUUAACUGCGGGCUUGCAGUUGAUACGGGCAGGCUAGAGUUCGGUAGGGGAGACUGGAAUUCCUGGUGUAGCGGUGAAAUGCGCAGAUAUCAGGAGGAACACCGGUGGCGAAGGCGGGUCUCUGGGCCGAAAUUGACGCUGAGGAGCGAAAGCGUGGGGAGCAAACAGG